rnacentral:tRNA from 1 species
GCGGCUGUGGUUUAACAGCAGAAUGUCUUCCUGCCAGGUAGAUGGUCCGGGUGCAACUCCCGGCAGCCGCACCA